rnacentral:rRNA from 1 species
AGAGUUGAUCCUGGCUAGAACGAACGCUGGCGGCAGGCUUAACACAUGCAAGUCGAACGCACCGCAAGGUGAGUGGCAGACGGGUGAGUAACGCGUGGGAACCUUCCCUUUGGUACGGAAUAACUUCGGGAAACCGAAGCUAAUACCGUAUAUCUCCUCCGGGGGGAAAAGAUUUAUCGCCAAAAGGAUGGGCCCGCGUUGGAUUAGCUAGUUGGUAGGGUAAAGGCCUACCAAGGCAACGAUCCAUAGCUGGUCUGAGAGGAUGAUCAGCCACACUGGGACUGAGACACGGCCCAGACUCCUACGGGAGGCAGCAGUGGGGAAUAUUGGACAAUGGGCGAAAGCCUGAUCCAGCCAUGCCGCGUGAGUGAAGAAGGCCUUAGGGUUGUAAAGCUCUUUUGGCGGGGACGAUAAUGACGGUACCCGCAGAAUAAGCCCCGGCUAACUUCGUGCCAGCCGCCGC